rnacentral:tRNA from 1 species
UGCAUCGCUGUACUCUUUCUAGGAAUCGGCAGAAGCGCCUGGUUUCGUACCGGGAAGAGCUUCUUCCAUUCCAAAGAACAUUGCCGUCGUCCUCAUGUCCCUUCAUCCUGGAGAAUUUGCCGCGUUCGUGUGGCAAAUGAAGCCGCCUUUGGGCAGCACGGGCUUGCCCGCCGAGGCCGAAAGGUCGCAGGUGGGGCCGGUAGCUCAGGUGGUUAGAGCGUACGCCUGAUAAGCGUAAGGUCGGAGGUUCGAGUCCUCCUCGGCCCACCAUAUGGACGCGCCGUCUCAACGGACUUUUGGCUGAAGUGGCUGGAUCAAGCAGGGAAGGUGGCCGUAGGUCUUAUGUCAGAUGAGAGAGUUCCUACUUAGGAAGCCAGGGGUCAUCUCCCCGAACCCGAUACGAUUCACAAUUUCGACAGAUGAGAGCUGAAAACUACGUUUUCGGCGAGGGGCUUUCAGCCUCUUGGGCAUGCCAAGACAGAACCUGUCUGUGCUUUUGCAUAUGGGAUGGGUAAUCUAAUCCCAUGCUUGGUUUGCGUCGUGGCCGGCACGGAAGGUAUCCUUUGC